GGUGUUUGUUGACACAACAACCCAUGUAGACCAGUUGAAUACUGCUGUGACUCCACUUCUCUGUGGGGGCCCUUGUGGGGCUCUUCCCUUAGGUGUAAUCUUCACAUCUUCCCAAGCUGAACAGAGUUAUACCAAAGGUUUUCAACUGCUCAAGAAGGUCUUAGACAAAAGUGCUUUUUAUUAUCAAAACUAUCCAAACUGCUUCAUAACUGACAACAGCGAGGCAGAGCGGAAUGCACUUCGAACAGUCUGGCCGGACUCUCAGCUUUUCCUUUGUGUGUUCCAUGUCCUCCAGCAGGUCUGGAGGUGGCUUUGCAAUGGGUCACACAACAUCAAAAAGGAACAACGUCCACAACUUAUGCAA